rnacentral:rRNA from 1 species
ACGGGUGAGUAAUGUCUGGGAAACUGCCCGAUGGAGGGGGAUAACUACUGGAAACGGUAGCUAAUACCGCAUAACGUCGCAAGACCAAAGAGGGGGACCUUCGGGCCUCUUGCCAUCGGAUGUGCCCAGAUGGGAUUAGCUUGUAGGUGAGGUAACGGCUCACCUAGGCGACGAUCCCUAGCUGGUCUGAGAGGAUGACCAGCCACACUGGAACUGAGACACGGUCCAGACUCCUACGGGAGGCAGCAGUGGGGAAUAUUGCACAAUGGGCGCAAGCCUGAUGCAGCCAUGCCGCGUGUAUGAAGAAGGCCUUCGGGUUGUAAAGUACUUUCAGCGGGGAGGAAGGGAGUGAGGUUAAUAACCUCAUUCAUUGACGUUACCCGCAGAAGAAGCACCGGCUAACUCCGUGCCAGCAGCCGCGGUAAUACGGAGGGUGCGAGCGUUAAUCGGAAUUACUGGGCGUAAAGCGCACGCAGGCGGUCUGUCAAGUCGGAUGUGAAAUCCCCGGGCUCAACCUGGGAACUGCAUUCGAAACUGGCAGGCUGGAGUCUUGUAGAGGGGGGUAGAAUUCCAGGUGUAGCGGUGAAAUGCGUAGAGAUCUGGAGGAAUACCGGUGGCGAAGGCGGCCCCCUGGACAAAGACUGACGCUCAGGUGCGAAAGCGUGGGGAGCAAACAGGAUUAGAUACCCUGGUAGUCCACGCUGUAAACGAUGUCGACUUGGAGGUUGUUCCCUUGAGGAGUGGCUUCCGGAGC